GGACCCUGCUCACAAGCAGCUAAGCCCUGCUCCUCAGGCCAGGCACAGGCUUCGGGGCCUCUCUGCCACCCCGUCCCCGGGCAGCAUCCUCGGUGGCAGAGCUCAGGGUCGGUUGGAAAUCCCUGGCAAUGUGAUUUGUGACAGGAAGCAAAUCCCAUCCCCAGGAACCCCAGCCGGCCGUGGCACAGGGGUGAGGGGGGCACCGGGCGGGGCCAGAGGCUGGCACCUGGAGGGGAGAAAGAGAGAGAGAGCAAAGGAGGUAAUGAGAUUUGGGGACACCUCCCCUCCAGGUCCCCAGAUGCUUCCUUUGAUCACAGGGAAGCUCUUUUCUCAUAUGCAGGAGCCACCACACGGGGAGCUGGAGCCUAGCUGUGCCCUCCGUUCCAGCCCCAGGACUGGAGAGGCAGAGAUACCUAGAGGGCCCAUGCGGGACAAGGAGGCUACAGCAACUUGCAUGGCCAAGCUCCCCCCUCAUUGAGCCCUGGGCAGGCCAAAUGGGGCCAUGGGGAGAGGAAGCCAAGGGGGGCCAGGCAGGCGGGUGAGGAAGUGAUCUCACCCCAGCUGGCGCCACUUCCUAGAAGCCUGGAGGGCAGGAGGAAACCACCAGGGCCUCUCCACCCAAACAGCCCAAGGUUCAAAUCCUUGCUCCACAGUUUCCCAAAGACUCUCCAAAGCUUCAGUUUCCCCAUCUGUAAAAUGGAGCCAAGAGCCUCUUUUGCAUAGCCCAGUGAGAUGUCACCGAGUAUGUAUGUCACUCAGUAAGUGCCCAGCACCAGGGCAAGAUACAGGAUUUUCAGGACCCGGUGCAAAAUGAACACGUGGUCCUCUAGUUCGAAAACUAAGAAUUUCAGGCCAAGCAUGGCGGCUCACGCCUGUAAUCCCAGCACUUUGGGAGGCCGAGGCAGGAGAGUCACCUGAGGCCAGGAGUUCAAGACCAGCCUGCGCAAUACGACAAUACCCCAUCUCUACAAAAAAAAAAAAUAUUUUUUCUUUUUUGAGACAGGGUCUCACUCUGUCGCCACGGCUAGAGUGCAGGGGUGCAAUCACAGCUCACUGCAGCCUCAGCCUCCCAGGUUCAAGUGAUCCUCCCACCUUAGCCUCCGGGGUAGCUGGGACUACAGCUAUGCACCACCAUGCCCGGCUAAUUUUUUCUUUUUCUUUUCUUUUUUUUUUUUUUUGAGACAGAGUCUCGCCCUGUCGCCCAGGCUGGAGUGCAAUGGCGUGAUCUCGGUUCACUGCAACCUCCACCUCCAGAGUUCAAGCAAUUCUCCUGCUUCAGCCUCCCGAGUAGCUGGGAUUACAGGUGCCCGCCACCACGCCCAGUUAAGUUUUGUAUUUUUAGUAGAGACGGGGUUUCACCAUGUUGGCCAGGCUGGUCUCGACCUCCUGACCUCAGGUGAUCCGCCCACCUCGGCUUUCCAAAGUGCUGGGAUUACAGGCGUGAGCCACCACACCUGGCCCUAAUUUUUGUAGAGAUGGGGUUUUGCCAUGUUGCCCAGACUGGUCUCCAACUCCUGGGCUCAAGCAAUCCGCCUGCCUCAGCCUCCCAAAGUGCUGGGCUUACAGGCCUGAGCCACAGUGUCUGGCCCACAAAAAAUUCACUAAAAAAUCAGCCAGGAGUGGUGGUACACAUCUGUAGCCC
rnacentral:lncRNA from 1 species